ACGGGUGAGUAACGCGUGGGAACAUACCCUUUUCUACGGAAUAGCUCUGGGAAACUGGAAUUAAUACCGUAUACGCCCUACGGGGGAAAGAUUUAUCGGGGAAGGAUUGGCCCGCGUUGGAUUAGCUAGUUGGUGGGGUAAAGGCCUACCAAGGCGACGAUCCAUAGCUGGUCUGAGAGGAUGAUCAGCCACAUUGGGACUGAGACACGGCCCAAACUCCUACGGGAGGCAGCAGUGGGGAAUAUUGGACAAUGGGCGCAAGCCUGAUCCAGUCAUGCCGCGUGAGUGAUGAAGGCCUUAGGGUUGUAAAGCUCUUUCACCGAUGAAAAUAAUGACGGUAGUCGGAGAAGAAGCCCCGGCUAACUUCGUGCCAGCAGCCGCGGUAAUACGAAGGGGGCUAGCGUUGUUCGGAAUUACUGGGCGUAAAGCGCACGUAGGCGGAUAUUUAAGUCAGGGGUGAAAUCCCAGAGCUCAACUCUGGAACUGCCUUUGAUACUGGGUAUCUUGAGUAUGGAAGAGGUAAGUGGAAUUGCGAGUGUAGAGGUGAAAUUCGUAGA
rnacentral:rRNA from 1 species